rnacentral:rRNA from 1 species
GUGGGGAAUCUUGCACAAUGGGCGAAAGCCUGAUGCAGCCAUGCCGCGUGAAUGAUGAAGGCCUUAGGGUUGUAAAAUUCUUUCGUCAGGGAUGAUAAUGACCGUACCUGAAGAAGAAGCACCGGCUAACUUCGUGCAAGCAGCCGCGGUAAUACGGAGGGGGCUAGCGUUGUUCGGAAUUACUGGGCGUAAAGCGCACGUAGGCGGACUUUUAAGUCAGGUGUGAAAUCCCGGGGCUCAACCUCGGAACUGCAUUUGAGUCUGGAAGUGUUGAGAUCAGGAGAGGUUAGCGGGAUACCGAGUGUAGAGGUGAAAUUCGUAGAUAUUCUGUCGAACACCAGGGCCUUAGGCGGCUAACUGUGCUGAUAGUGACGCUGAGGUGCGAAAGUGUGGGGAGCAAACAGGAUUAGAUACCCGAGUAGUCC